rnacentral:sRNA from 1 species
CGCGCACGGGUUGGUCUCUGCCCUAAUGCGGCGGCUGGCGGCGAGAGGCGCUGCAGGGGACGCGGGGGAAGUGGCGGCGCCGGCAGCGCACAGCUCGGACAGCGCCCAGGGCCGGAGCCCGAGCCCUUGGAGGUUGAUUGACUUAUGUGCAAUUUGGGACUCUGGAGUUUACCUUCCCUCCGCAGCCUGGAACGGAGCCUCCUCUGGUGUUGCAAGGAGGAGGCUGAAUGAGGCAGAGAAGCUGAGCUCUGUCCGGGAAGCCCAGUUAAAGCGGCUCGAGGUGACAAGACCCCGAGUGCUGGGGAGCAGGGAGCAGGGCCGGGUGCCGAGGAUGGCCAGGAAGCCACCACCGCCCUGGGUCCAUGCAGCCUUCCUCCUCUGCCUCCUCAGUCUUGGCGGAGCCAUCGAAAUUCCUAUGGAUCUGACGCAGCCACCAACCAUCACCAAGCAGUCAGUGAAGGAUCACAUCGUGGACCCCCGUGAUAACAUCCUGAUAGAGUGUGAAGCAAAAGGGAACCCUGCCCCCAGCUUCCACUGGACGCGAAACAGCAGAUUCUUCAACAUCGCCAAGGACCCGCGGGUGUCCAUGAGGAGGAGGUCUGGGACCCUGGUGAUUGACUUCCGCAGUGGCGGGCGGCCGGAGGAAUAUGAGGGGGAAUAUCAGUGCUUCGCCCGCAACAAAUUUGGCACGGCCCUGUCCAAUAGGAUCCGCCUGCAGGUGUCGAAAUCUCCUCUGUGGCCCAAGGAAAACCUAGACCCUGUCGUGGUCCAAGAGGGCGCUCCUUUGACGCUCCAGUGCAACCCCCCGCCUGGACUUCCAUCCCCGGUCAUCUUCUGGAUGAGCAGCUCCAUGGAGCCCAUCACCCAAGACAAACGUGUCUCUCAGGGCCAUAAUGGAGACCUAUACUUCUCCAACGUGAUGCUGCAGGACAUGCAGACCGACUACAGUUGCAACGCCCGCUUCCAUUUCACCCACACCAUCCAGCAGAAGAACCCUUUCACCCUCAAGGUCCUCACCAACCACCCUUAUAAUGACUCGUCCUUAAGAAACCACCCUGACAUGUACAGUGAUCCCUGCCUGGGGAGAAGGACUGCUGCUGAGUUGGCCUGCCCUGGGGGCCACACAAUGGCCUCUGGGAUCCCAACACAAGCUGCUCGGGAGUAGAUCUUGCACUGCUCAGACAGCCCCUCCCCGUUCCAGGGAAGGGGAGAUUCCCUGAACCUGAGGGAAGCUGGGCUCCUCCAGGCAGAUCCUUUCAGAACCUAGAGCUCCUCUCUCUCAUCCCGAGGAGUUGCAGAAAGAACACCAAGCUUCAUGUAUCCCCAGGGCACCGCGAGCAGCCAGAUGGUGCUUCGUGGCAUGGACCUCCUGCUGGAAUGCAUCGCCUCCGGGGUCCCAACACCAGACAUCGCAUGGUACAAGAAAGGUGGGGACCUCCCAUCUGAUAAGGCCAAGUUUGAGAACUUUAAUAAGGCCCUGCGUAUCACCAAUGUCUCUGAGGAAGACUCUGGGGAGUAUUUCUGCCUGGCCUCCAACAAGAUGGGCAGCAUCCGGCACACGAUCUCGGUGAGAGUAAAGGCUGCUCCCUACUGGCUGGACGAACCCAAGAACCUUAUCCUGGCUCCUGGCGAGGAUGGUAGACUGGUGUGUCGAGCCAAUGGAAACCCCAAACCCACUGUCCAGUGGAUGGUGAAUGGGGAACCUUUGCAAUCGGCACCACCUAACCCAAACCGUGAGGUGGCUGGAGACACCAUCAUCUUCCGGGACACCCAGAUCAGCAGCAGGGCCGUGUACCAGUGCAACACCUCCAACGAGCAUGGCUACCUGCUGGCCAACGCCUUCGUCAGUGUGCUGGAUGUGCCGCCUCGGAUGCUGUCGCCCCGGAACCAGCUCAUUCGAGUGAUUCUUUACAACCGGACGCGACUGGACUGUCCUUUCUUUGGGUCUCCCAUCCCCACACUGCGAUGGUUUAAGAAUGGGCAAGGAAGCAACCUGGAUGGUGGCAACUACCAUGUUUAUGAGAAUGGCAGUCUGGAAAUUAAGAUGAUCCGCAAAGAGGACCAAGGCAUCUACACCUGUGUCGCCACCAACAUCCUGGGCAAAGCUGAAAACCAAGUCCGCCUGGAGGUCAAAGACCCCACCAGGAUCUACCGGAUGCCUGAAGACCAGGUGGCCAAAAGGGGCACCACGGUGCAGCUGGAGUGUCGGGUGAAGCACGACCCCUCCCUGAAACUCACCGUCUCCUGGCUGAAGGAUGACGAGCCGCUCUAUAUUGGAAACAGGAUGAAGAAGGAAGAUGACUCCCUGACCAUCUUUGGUGUGGCAGAGCGGGACCAGGGCAGUUACACGUGUGUUGCCAGCACCGAGCUAGAUCAAGACCUGGCCAAGGCCUACCUCACCGUGCUAGCUGAUCAGGCCACUCCAACUAACCGUUUGGCUGCCCUGCCCAAAGGACGGCCAGACCGGCCCCGGGACCUGGAGCUGACCGACCUGGCCGAGAGGAGCGUGCGGCUGACCUGGAUCCCUGGGGAUGCUAACAACAGCCCCAUCACAGACUACGUCGUCCAGUUUGAAGAAGACCAGUUCCAACCUGGGGUCUGGCAUGACCAUUCCAAGUACCCCGGCAGCGUUAACUCAGCCGUCCUCCGGCUGUCCCCGUAUGUCAACUACCAGUUCCGUGUCAUUGCCAUCAACGAGGUUGGGAGCAGCCACCCCAGCCUCCCGUCCGAGCGCUACCGAACCAGUGGAGCACCCCCCGAGUCCAAUCCUGGUGACGUGAAGGGAGAGGGGACCAGAAAGAACAACAUGGAGAUCACGUGGACGCCCAUGAAUGCCACCUCGGCCUUUGGCCCCAACCUGCGCUACAUUGUCAAGUGGAGGCGGAGAGAGACUCGAGAGGCCUGGAACAACGUCACGGUGUGGGGCUCUCGCUACGUGGUGGGGCAGACCCCGGUCUACGUGCCCUAUGAGAUCCGAGUCCAGGCUGAAAAUGACUUCGGGAAGGGCCCUGAGCCAGAGUCCGUCAUCGGUUACUCCGGAGAAGAUUGCCUACUACUGGAGGGAGAGCAGCUUGCUGAAGAACCUGUGGGUGUCUCAGAAGAGACAGCAAGCCAGCUUCCCUGGUGACCGCCUCCGUGGCGUGGUGUCCCGCCUCUUCCCCUACAGUAACUACAAGCUGGAGAUGGUUGUGGUCAAUGGGAGAGGUGAUGGGCCUCGCAGUGAGACCAAGGAGUUCACCACCCCGGAAGGAGUACCCAGUGCCCCCAGGCGUUUCCGCGUCCGGCAGCCCAACCUGGAGACAAUCAACCUGGAGUGGGAUCAUCCGGAGCAUCCAAAUGGGAUCAUGAUUGGAUACACUCUCAAAUACGUGGCCUUUAACGGGACCAAAGUAGGAAAGCAGAUAGUGGAAAACUUCUCUCCCAAUCAGACCAAGUUCACGGUGCAAAGAACGGACCCUGUGUCACGCUACCGCUUUACCCUUAGCGCCAGGACACAGGUGGGCUCUGGGGAAGCCGUCACAGAGGAGUCACCAGCACCCCCGAAUGAAGCUUACACCAACAACCAAGCGGACAUCGCCACCCAGGGCUGGUUCAUUGGGCUUAUGUGCGCCAUCGCCCUCCUGGUGCUGAUCCUGCUCAUCGUCUGUUUCAUCAAGAGGAGUCGCGGCGGCAAGUACCCAGGUGAGACAUGCGAGAGGCGUGGGCUUGCAGGGCGGGGCACGUCCACCUUCCCGUGAGUCUCCAGGUCUCCAGCCAGAUCCGGGGAACGUGUUCUCUCAGUGAAGCCAGCCCUUGCCCAGCUUGGAAAUACAAUCCUCUUGCCUGUGCAUCUUCGGACUGCCAGCAAGCACUUGAGUUAAUUAAGUUCGCCUGAGUUGGGCGGAUGGCACAGUCCAGGCAGCCUCAGAGAGGGGAUGGAAGGAACCCUGGCUCCUAUUAAGAAUGACCUUUCCUCCCCUUGACUCACCACCCAUCUGCUCUAUAAAUUGGCUUUUUUUCAGCCUGAAUCUCAUUAGGAUCCUGUGUCCCAGGGAAGCAGAAAGGAAGAGAGGCAUUUUCCCUAACUGUGUCCCAGAGAAUGGGGAGAGGAGGGGCCUGGGCAGAAGCAGCACCCACAUGAGAGAGUUCCAGAGGUGGGCGCUCAGCAGGACAAUGGUGUAACCGCCGACACCACUAGCAAGGGUCAGAAGCGAGGACCAGGGAGAGGCUGAAGAUGGGUGGCACUGGUAGGGACCCCCGUGGCCCUAAAGCACUUUGGGCUUCCCUAAAAUCCCAAGGAUACCUCAAGAUCCUUCAGUCCCUGGCCAGGCACAAUGACUCACAUCUGUAAUCCCAGCAUUUCGGGAGGCCAAGGCGAGCAGGUCACUUAAGGUCAGGAGUUUGAGACCAGCCCAACCAACAUGACGAAACUCCAUCUCUACUAAAUAUACAGAAAUUAGCUGGGUGUGGUGGCAGGUGUCUGAGGUCCCAGCUAUUCAAGAGGCUGAGGUGGGAGGAUUACCUGAGCCUGGAGAGGUCAAGGCUGCCAUGAGCCGUGAUUGUGCCACUGCACUCCAGCCUGGGUGACAGAGUGAGACCCUGUCUCAAAUAAAUAAAUAAAAUUUUUUAAAAGAUCCUCCAGGCCGGGCGCAGUGGCUCACACCUGUAAUCCCAGCACUUUGCAAGGCCGAGGCAGGCAGAUCACUUGAGGUCAGGAGUUCGAGACCAGCCUGGCCAACAUGGUGAAACCCCAUCUCUACCAAAAAUACAAAAAAUUAUCUGGGUAUAGUGGCACACGCCUAUAAUCCCAGCUACUCAGGAGGCUGAGGCAGGAGAAUCACUUGAACCUGGGAGGCAGAGAUUGCAGUGAGCCAAAAUCGUGCCACUGCACUCCAGCCUGGGCAACAGAGCGAGACUCCGUCUCAAAAAAGGAAAAAAAAAAAAAAAAAAAA